AGAGUUUGAUCAUGGCUCAGAUUGAACGCUGGCGGCAUGCUUUACACAUGCAAGUCGAACGGUAACAGGUCUUCGGAUGCUGACGAGUGGCGAACGGGUGAGUAAUACAUCGGAACGUGCCUAGUAGUGGGGGAUAACUACUCGAAAGAGUAGCUAAUACCGCAUGAGAUCUAAGGAUGAAAGCAGGGGACCUUCGGGCCUUGUGCUACUAGAGCGGCUGAUGGCAGAUUAGGUAGUUGGUGGGAUAAAAGCUUACCAAGCCGACGAUCUGUAGCUGGUCUGAGAGGACGACCAGCCACACUGGGACUGAGACACGGCCCAGACUCCUACGGGAGGCAGCAGUGGGGAAUUUUGGACAAUGGGCGCAAGCCUGAUCCAGCAAUGCCGCGUGCAGGAUGAAGGCCUUCGGGUUGUAAACUGCUUUUGUACGGAACGAAAAGACUCUCUCUAAUACAGGGGGUUGAUGACGGUACCGUAAGAAUAAGCACCGGCUAACUACGUGCCAGCAGCCGCGGUAAUAC
rnacentral:rRNA from 1 species